UAUGUCUCGCAACGUUUUCGCAGCCCUUGGUAAUUUCUGUACCAGCUAUCGAACGGCAUCCUCGAUCAUCAUAGAGGGAUCAGCUGUUCGAGGGUUUGCCACUAAAAUUUCGCCAAGAGUUAAUGAUCCAGUGCAGAUGGCGCAAAACCAGGCAGAUUCUAAAUCCACGCUGAAGGUCGAGCUUCCGGAACGAUUGAAAGGAUUGGAUAAAAAUGUUUGGGUUGAGUAUACUGGUUUAGCAGCGCAGCAUAAAGCAGUUAACUUAGGACAGGGAUUUCCCGAUUUUCCACCUCCGGAAUAUGUCACGAAAGCCUUAGCAGAAGCCACCGAUGGCGCGAAUCACAUGCUGAAUCAGUACACUCGCGGAUAUGGUCAUCUGCGCUUGGUCAAAAUCUUGGCGGAAGUGUUUAGUAAGAUCCACAGUCGUCCCAUUGAUCCGUUGACCGAAGUUCUGGUCACCGUUGGCGCUUAUCAGUCGCUAUUUUGCGCCAUUAUGGGUUUCGUGAACCCUGGAGAUGAAGUUAUUAUAAUCGAACCAUACUUUGACUGCUACGAACCGAUGGUGCGGUAUGCUGGAGGUGUGCCGGUUUUUGUUCCCCUUCGACCAAGCAAACAGGGUGAACUAAUGCACAGUGCCGAAUGGACACUGGAUAUGAAGGAGCUCGAGUCGAAAUUCAGCAGCAAGACGAAACUGAUUAUUUUGAACACUCCAAAUAAUCCACUGGGAAAAGUGUUUACUCGUCAGGAAUUGCAGGAGAUUGCUGAAUUAUGCGUGCGCAAGAACAUCUUCGUUAUCAGCGAUGAAGUUUAUGAAUGGUUGGUGUUUAAUCCUUCCCAGCACAUCCGCAUUGCGGACUUUCCCGGAAUGUGGGAACGAACAGUGACGAUUCGCUCUGCCGGGAAAACAUUUUCCGUGACGGGUUGGAAAUUAGGCUGGUCAAUUGGGCCGGCCAGCUUGAUCCGCAACUGCCAAGUGAUGUAUCAAAACGUUACUUACACGUCCGCCACACCGUUACAAGAGGCGGUGGCAGUAGGUUUCGAGAUUGAAAUGAAGCGCCUCGGCUCGCCAGAAUGUUACUUCUUAGAACUUCCAGCCAUGUUGAAAGGGAAGCGUGACAGAAUGGCACAGAUGCUGAUUGAUACUGGAUUCAUUCCGACGGUCCCAGAAGGAGGAUAUUUUAUGUUGGCCGAUUAUUCGAAAAUUAAAAAUAGUCCUAAACUGCAGAGUGGCGAUGAACCCAGAGAUGUUCAGUUUGUCAAGUGGAUGACAGUGGAAAAGAAGUUGGCCACUAUCCCUGUUAGUGCGUUUUACUCCCAAGAGCACAAACAUCUAGCGGAAGAUUAUAUUCGAUUCUGCUUCUGCAAGAACGACGAUACGCUCGGAAAAACGGAAAAGAUCCUGACUGAAUGGAUGAAGGAAACAAGCCAGUGAUUUCGUUUGCCUUUCAUUUCCAUUAAACUAAAGAAUCAGGUCUAAAACUACCAGAGAAGCCGUACCCGACCAUACGUUCCAAGGAAAAUUUCCGGUCGUGAUCCGCCAUUUCCAGAAACAAUAUCACAGCUGGUAACGACAUCAAAGUGUUUGCUUUUUGGGAGUACAACGGACUUUGGACGAAGCUCUGCCGACACAUUCCUGUCAAAGAGUUUCCGGUUAUGCGUUUGCUCUAAUUAUAAGCUUUGCACUGACUUACAGGUAUAUGAUGGCCACUUCCAACAAUCCAAUCACCAACAAAUGGACUUUAUUGCCAUCCUGAAAGAAUCUCAUACGAGAUGUCAUGGAAUCGUGCCGCACUUCCCACAUCGGAUACCAUUCUACGAUGCAAUGCCAUUCGUUUUAUUAUGGCGAAUAUAUUACCAUACAAGACUGCACCAUCCUUCUGCCUCGGUAAAUACGCCAGACACACAACAAGAUCCACGCAUCCUGGCACGGAAGGAUCAGCCGUUUUGACGCUCAUCGCUCCCACUUUCCAGGGUUUCUCCAGAGGAAAUGAACUGAUUAGGGCGCUCUUGGGCACCACCACCAAUUCGUCGCCUCCCACAUCUUCCUCAUGGAAGUACGCACAACGCAUGCUGUCAUCGCGGCACGCAGCCAGCACGCGAUUCCCAGUAACAUUGGUGCGCGGCAGCAGCAGCGUCUGCGACGGUCCCGACUGAGCGCUCAAAGGGAACGUGUGCACCAACAGCAUCCGCCCGUUGGGACUGGAACUGGAUCCGGGGUUGUUGCUGAAAGCGGAGGAUCGCGGUCGCGAAUUCAUUUGUGCCGCGUCGUCCGCGGAUGAGCGACGUGACUGUGGAUUGGUGGACGGCAAGAAGAAAUGGACAUCGCGCUCGCGCGUCUCUUCGUUUUCCGCUUCGUGUUCAAUUUCUUCUAAAAGAAUGUGACUGGCGCUGCUACGCGCUGGAUACUGGCUGCUUGGGGGAAUGUCCAUCUGCAAAGCACGGAGACGAAGUUUCUGACAAUAACCAGCGAGAGGUUUUUGGAAUACCCACCUGCUACAAGAAAUG